rnacentral:rRNA from 1 species
AUUGAACGCUGGCGGAAUGCUUUACACAUGCAAGUCGAACGGCAGCACGGGGGCAACCCUGGUGGCGAGUGGCGAACGGGUGAGUAAUACAUCGGAACGUGCCCAGUCGUGGGGGAUAACGUAGCGAAAGUUACGCUAAUACCGCAUACGAUCUACGGAUGAAAGCGGGGGAACGUAAGGCCUCGCGCGAUUGGAGCGGCCGAUGUCAGAUUAGGUAGUUGGUGGGGUAAAGGCUCACCAAGCCGACGAUCUGUAGCUGGUCUGAGAGGACGACCAGCCACACUGGGACUGAGACACGGCCCAGACUCCUACGGGAGGCAGCAGUGGGGAAUUUUGGACAAUGGGCGCAAGCCUGAUCCAGCCAUUCCGCGUGCAGGACGAAGGCCUUCGGGUCGUAAACUGCUUUUGUACGGAACGAAAAGGCUCUGGUUAAUACCUGGGGCUCAUGACGGUACCGUAAGAAUAAGCACCGGCUAACUACGUGCCAGCCGCCGCGGUAA